UUUUUCUGCAGAGUCGCGCCGGGGUCGCCUUCCUCGCGCACUGGCUUCCAAGCGGAGCCAGCCUGAGCGCUGGGUGCAUUUCCUGAGGAUACAAGGGACAGACAGGAGAGGCAUCGAGGAGGACCGGUGGGGUGUAAUAAAGUUCAUAAGAGGGUGUGGGGCGGUCCAGUCUCCCACUGCCAGUC
ensembl:misc_RNA predicted gene, 27893